GAUGAACGCUGGCGGCGUGCCUAAUACAUGCAAGUCGAGCGAAGAGGGGACGGGUGAGUAACAUGUGGAUAACCCCCUAUAAGACUGGGAUAACUUCGUGAAACCGGAGUUAAUCCGGAUACUUAUAGAUGGAUCCGCGCUGCAUUAGCUAGUUGGUAAGGUAACGGCUUACCAGGGCAACGUUGCAUCGCCGACCUGAGAGGGUGAUCGGCCACACUGGAACUGAGACACGGUCCAGACUCCUACGGGAGGCAGCAGUAGGGAAUCUUCCGCAAUGGACGAAAGUCUGACGGAGCAACGCCGCGUGAGUGAUGACGGCCUUCGGGUUGUAAAGCUCUGUUAAUCGGGACGCGUUACCGGUCUCGAAAGCCACGGCUAACUACGUGCCAGCAGCCGCGGUAAUAC
rnacentral:rRNA from 1 species